GAUGAACGCUGGCGGCGUGCCUAAUACAUGCAAGUCGAGCGAACAGACGAGGAGCUUGCUCCUCUGACGUUAGCGGCGGACGGGUGAGUAACACGUGGAUAACCUACCUAUAAGACUGGGAUAACUUCGGGAAACCGGAGCUAAUACCGGAUAAUAUAUUGAACCGCAUGGUUCAAUAGUGAAAGACGGUUUUGCUGUCACUUAUAGAUGGAUCCGCGCCGCAUUAGCUAGUUGGUAAGGUAACGGCUUACCAAGGCAACGAUGCGUAGCCGACCUGAGAGGGUGAUCGGCCACACUGGAACUGAGACACGGUCCAGACUCCUACGGGAGGCAGAAGUAGGGAAUCUUCCGCAAUGGGCGAAAGCCUGACGGAGCAACGCCGCGUGAGUGAUGAAGGUCUUCGGAUCGUAAAACUCUGUUAUUAGGGAAGAACAAAUGUGUAAGUAACUAUGCACGUCUUGACGGAACCUAAUCAGAAAGCCACGGCUAACUACGU
rnacentral:rRNA from 1 species